rnacentral:rRNA from 1 species
GGAAUCCGCUAAGGAGUGUGUAACAACUCACCUGCCGAAUGAAUUAGCCCUGAAAAUGGAUGGCGCUGAAGCGGGCAGCCGAUACCACGCCGUCUGGGCAACUUUUGUUCCCAGAUGAGUAGGAGGACGUGGCGGUUGUACAGAAGCGUGCCCGCGAGGGUGCGUGGAACGGCCGCCAGUGCAGAUCUUGGUGUUAGUAGCAAAUAUUCAAAUGAAAACCUUGAAGGGCGAAGCGGGGAAGGGUUCCACGCGUACAUUGAUUGGGUGUGGGUGAGUCGUUCCUAAGCCGCGUGGCAAUAGCUGCAUAUCGGCGAAAGGGAAGCAGGUUGACAUUCCUGCACACGGAUGUGGAUGCGGUGACGCACUUCUGAGGCAGUGAAGCUGGCUUUGGCACUGGGCAGAGAUAUCUUUUCUGUUUAACCGUUAUCGAACGUACUGUGUGGAAUCCGCUUGUCGGGAGAAACACGUGCGGUCGGGCAUAGCGCCGGGAUUUUUCCGGCGUCCAGUUCGCCGGGGACGGACCUUGAAAAACUGCUUGCUGGCACAAUUCCUUGUGAGUUGUGUAUGAAGAAUCCACGCCGUAACGUACCGAUAACCGCAUCAGGUCCCCAAGGUGAACAGCCUCUGCUCGAUAUGAUCAAUGCAGGUAAGGGAAGUCGGCAAAUCAGACCCGUAACUUUGGGAAAAGGGUUGGCUCUAGUGCUGCGUGGGAUUGGUUGUUGUGGUGUUUUUGUUGAUCCUGUCAGCGUCGCUGCGGAGUGGGCAGCCCCUCGGGGAGGCUCGCACUGUGGAGGUGUAGACGGUGAACGAUGGAGCCUGCGACGACGCCCACAGCAUGCAGCAAACUAGAACUGCAACGGGCAAAGGGAAUCCGACUGUUUAAUUAAAACAAAGCAUUGCGAGGGCCGUGGCCGGUGUUGACGC